rnacentral:rRNA from 1 species
CGGACGAACGCUGGGCGGCGUGCCUAACACAUGCAAGUCGAACGGUCCGGCACUCAACCGACCCUCAGUCUAACUGUAGGGGAAGUUGAGUGCCGGGUAGUGGCGGACGGGUGAGUAACGCGUGGGCAACCAACCCUGUACAGUGGGAUAACACCGGGAAACCGGUGCUAAUACCGCAUGACACCUAUAUGGUGCAUACCGUAUAGGUUAAAGGAUUUAACCGGUACAGGACGGGCCCGCGUCCCAUUAGCUAGUUGGUGAGGUAACGGCCCACCAAGGCGACGAUGGGUAGCCGACCUGAGAGGGUGACCGGCCACACUGGGACUGAGACACGGCCCAGACUCCUACGGGAGGCAGCAGUGGGGAAUAUUGCGCAAUGGGGGGAACCCGUGACGCAGCGACGCCGCGUGAGCGACGAAGGCCUUCGGGUCGUAAAGCUCUGUUCUUGGGGACGAAGGAAAUGACGGUACCCAAGGAGAAAGCCCCGGCUAACUACGUG